rnacentral:rRNA from 1 species
UACGGAGGGAGCUAGCGUUGUUCGGAAUUACUGGGCGUAAAGCGCACGUAGGCGGCUAUUCAAGUCGGGGGUGAAAGCCCGGGGCUCAACCCCGGAACUGCCCUCGAAACUAGGUAGCUAGAAUCUUGGAGAGGUCAGUGGAAUUCCGAGUGUAGAGGUGAAAUUCGUAGAUAUUCGGAGGAACACCAGAAGCGAAGGCGGCCAACUGGCCCGAUACUGACGCUGAGGCGCGAAAGCGUAGGGAGCAAACAGG